UACGUAGGGUGCGAGCGUUGUCCGGAAUUAUUGGGCGUAAAGGGCUCGUAGGCGGUUUAUCGCGUCGGGAGUGAAAACCUCGGGCUUAACUCGGGGCUUGCUUUCGAUACGGGCAGACUAGAGGUAUGCAGGGGAGAACGGAAUUCCUGGUGUAGCGGUGAAAUGCGCAGAUAUCAGGAGGAACACCGGUGGCGAAGGCGGUUCUCUGGGCAUGAUCUGACGCUGAGGAGCGAAAGCGUGGGGAGCAAACAGG
rnacentral:rRNA from 1 species